GAAAAACACCAUCUGAAAAGUGGACUUCACGGAGGAAAAGCCUGGAAAGUAUGGGUAUCGGUAUCUGUUAGUGUUAGUGGACACUUUUUCAGGCUGGGCUGAGGCAUUCCCAACAAAAACCAAACCGCUCAGGUAAUUCCUUGAUUUGGCUUAUGCUUAGCAAUGGGGUCCAACAAUGGCCCAGCCUUCACGGCCCAAGUUACUCAAUUAUUAGCUAAGGCCCUAGAAUAAAUUGGAAGUUACAUUGCAUUUAUAGGCCUCAGAGUUCAGGACAGGUGGAAAG